UACAAGACUUACUGUGUUCCAGCUGAAAGACCCCCAGAGUGGGGAGACCCUCACUGAAGUCUCGGGAUAAGCCGAUGCCCCAAUAAUUCAAGAGAGACC
rnacentral:pre_miRNA from 11 species